rnacentral:lncRNA from 1 species
CAGGCUGAUGACCAACCCAGGGUGGGACAGGGACGUGGCGUAGGGGCAAGCACAGAGGGGCCUCUGCCCGGGCUGGGGGGUGCAGAGGAGGGAAGGGGAGAGAGAGUGGACGGCCCCGCGGGACCCGGGGGCGCGAGUACACGGGCGCUUCUCUAGAGCCUGGAUUGAGGAAGUUGGGGUCAGACUCCAGGGGAGUGUUUUUUGCUGAAUUCCCCUUCCAGACAUCAGAAGCAAAGAGGAACACAGAUUCCAGACCACCUGCACCAGCUCCUCUGAUUCUGUCAAAAAAAAAAAAAAAAAACAUUGUCCCGCUUCUGCUUCGGGGCCACGGCGGGGAUCAGGGGGCCACGCCCACCGGCCACGCCCCCAGCCGCCGGAGCCGUCCUCCCCGGGGAGCUUCCCAGCGGUCUCCAGGACCACCUGCCGCUCUCCCCGCGCUCGCCCCUUCUGAUCGCUGCCUCCCGACAUCAUGUGUUCCUGUCCAAAUCACCUUUUUGUUCAGGACCCGCAGAGCGCCCCUGGGCAUGGCCAGGCACCCAUCCCAACUGCAACUUUGAAGGGCGAUACAGCUCGCCUUUUGUGUACCUACUGUGUGCUGGGCAGGGCGCCGGGAAAGACACAAGACAGGGUUGGUCCUGUCGGAGGUUGUGCAGCGAGGCGGGAAGAGGGUGAACCUGGGGGUCCGGGAGACCCCGGCUCUAACUCCGGCUCUGCCGCAUACCUGGUUGUGAUCUCCUGCAAGCUGCCCUUGGCUGUAAAAUAGAGACAAUAAUAGCUAUCUUGCAGCCUUGUUACAAGGACUGAAGGAAAGUGUUGGCAUGUGGUGGGUUCUCAAGAAACAGUAGCUGUUUUGGAUGCUCAGUUCACUGGGAGAACACAAGCUCUGAACCCAGAUUACUGCGUUCAAACCCUGGCUCCACCACGUGCUUGCUGCGUAACCUUGGACAAACUUCCUCACCUUUCUGUGCCUCUGUUUUCUCAUCUGUAAAAUGGAGAUAAUAUGCUUAACAGUUACAGAGUUUCUGUUUGGGGGGGAGAAUGAAAAAGUUUUGGAAAGAGAUAGUGGUGAUGGCUGCGCAAUGUUGUAAACGUAAUGAAUGUCACUGAAUUGUAGAUUUAAAAUGGUUAAAACGGAUUUUUAGGUUAUAUUUUAUCACAUUUUUACAAAGUUAAUGUAAUAUACCAAGAUGCAAUGAAUUGUACACUUUUAAUGGGUGAAUUGUAUCAUAUGUGAAUUAUAUCUCAAUAAAACUGUUUUUAAAAAAUAAAUGGAGACA